rnacentral:rRNA from 1 species
GAUGAACGCUGGCGGCGUGCCUAAUACAUGCAAGUCGAGCGAGCAGACGAGGAGCUUGCUCCUUUGACGUUAGCGGCGGACGGGUGAGUAACACGUGGGUAACCUACCUAUAAGACUGGGAUAACUUCGGGAAACCGGAGCUAAUACCGGAUAAUAUUUCGAACCGCAUGGUUCGAUAGUGAAAGAUGGCUUUGCUAUCACUUAUAGAUGGACCUGCGCCGUAUUAGCUAGUUGGUAAGGUAACGGCUUACCAAGGCAACGAUACGUAGCCGACCUGAGAGGGUGAUCGGCCACACUGGAACUGAGACGCGGUCCAGACUCCUACGGGAGGCAGCAGUAGGGAAUCUUCCGCAAUGGGCGAAAGCCUGACGGAGCAACGCCGCGUGAGUGAUGAAGGUCUUCGGAUCGUAAAACUCUGUUAUUAGGGAAGAACAAACGUGUAAGUAACUGUGCACGUCUUGACGGUACCUAAUCAGAAAGCCACGGCUAACUACGUG